GAGGAGAGAAAAUACAUUUCAGUAUUAUUUAUAGGCUUAUUAUACUAUAUAUUGAAUAAAUGCUGUACCACACAGGAAUACGGCUCACAGUUGAGUUCGGUUCCUGCUGAAUAGUCACCUCUUGAGCAUCAACGCAGUUCACGACAAAUUUAACUGUUUAAAACAUUUUUUUUUGCCCACCAUUAAACACUGUUUGGUGCUCGACAAGUUAGCGCCACGCAAGGUAUUGUUGAGCCUCUCAGUGAAGCUGGAGGGAGCUAAAUGGCCUAUUUAAUACCAGCAUUACACAUGUUGGAUAACUGUAGAAAUAGUAACAUUAAUAACAUAAUAAUAAAAUUCGUGCCCCUCUGAGCUCUAAUGUGAUUUUUCUUUGAAAACCUUAUGGGAAACAAAUGUGUUUUGUAAUAUCGUAGUGACAUCAAUGUCUGUUUUUUUAAUGUGGUCUUUUUGACUGAUAAGAUAAUGUCCAAAACCAAGCAAUGUCUUUGUCCUUCAUCCCAUGAAGGGUACAUUUUCAGUCCUUCUUUUUCACAUCCGCUCAGGUCAGCAGGUGUGGAGCUGCAGAGGAGUGACUGACACUUCAGCGGGGCGACGCUUGCUGCCACACAUAUUGGAAGCAUUGCUGAGUCCGGUUGAGACUAAACAUACGGCUCCCUACUGUGCUAACGGCCCGUCAAAACAUGGAGACAUUUUGACGGACGUUUCUUACCAAGGUCAACGUGCUCUUCUUGCCAGGCGGUGUCUGACCGCGUCCCCUCGUCACGCGGUGCACAGAGUUGCGUUGGCGUCUGACAGCUUUUACAGUUCUGAAGAGGGGAAACUCUCCAGUAAAAGAGAAAAAGUGACGGAAGAGUCAGAAGGAAUAAACACAAUUUUGUCUUGCUGAAUUUAGUUUUCCACCUUUCAACCGUUCUAACCAGAUGUAUCUAGCAGAUGACCGCUGGACUUUGCAGCAGCACAUACAGACAUAGAGCACACUUGCAAUCUGUAUUAGCUUGUGAUGGUGAACCGAUGACUCGCUCAUCUGAUCCCUUCUCCGGUAUAUUUGCUUCAUCUUUAAUGACUGCUGCCAAAUCAUUUUUAGAGAAUCGUGAUCAAGCUUCUCUGCUAUUUUGUCCCGUCUGCCAACAGGACGUUGGAGGGUAUUCUGUCCCACCUGUGAAUGGAUGAUAGGCGAGCCCCCUCAUAUUUCAAUAUUGUGCAACAUGCUUGUUAAGUUUGUUCCUCCCCCACUGUACACCUUCUCUACAUGGCAGUUACAGACUGCACCUCAAAGGAAGUGUAAAAAGUGAUAGCACCUGUCAUUUUAAUAAGGAGCCUCUGUGAGCCCUCGGCGAAGGCCUGGCUCAGGCUCACCGCUUCAAUGCGCACAACCCAGUAAUAAGGCUGCCACUGGGUUUAUUCUCCACAGCGAACUCUACAGGGCUCCCUGCACCACUAACGGCCAGAGACGUCAUCGUUUUCAAUGUGCUGCAUGUUGUUUGGUGGAGUUGAGAGCGCUGUGUAGUCCACUCUUACUGACUCAUGGCCGCUGAAGGCGUGCGAUGGAGUGGAGAUGUUGUUGGAUGGUGCGUGAAAUCAUCCAUUUUUCAUUCUGUGAGGAGUCAUGAGGUCAUUGAAUGAGGAGUGUACAAGAAGCAGAUCCUGUAUCAGUCACAUUUGACCGAUAUCCAGGAAUUAAACCAAGCCGUCAUUAGUUAUUCUGACCUCCACACAGGCGAACGGCGGGCGGAGGUAUGUGAACAGUGCCUGUAAAUAAAGCCGGCUGGGUCCAGGGUAUCAUCAUGGAAGAAUGCAGUUUUGCAUUGUGCCAGGUUAGCAAUUUAAUAUCAGCCACAUGCGGUGCAGGAUGAGAUGUAAUGAGUAAGUGUUGCACAGCGCUGGCACAGGUUAGGAUUGUGUGCAUUUUGGUUUGAUGAUGAAAUUCCACUAUGGUUCUAAAAGACACCGAUGCAGCCAGAAAGCACCUGCAGGACGGCUCUGCCCCGUAAUUUGUUUUAAAAGGCAUCUGUGCACAUCGUGCCGUCAUUACCCAAAACUAAUUCAGAGGGGACAUUACUUCAUAGUCUGAGCAGAUGUGGAGGUCCAAAAAAAACCUGCAGUGUUUGAACAAUAACAAAGAGAAAACUGCAGUAAAAUAAGAGUGCUGGGUUUUAUGUAAAGUUGUCAGUCAACUGUCAACUAUUGCCUUUGUCCGAGGUCAUAAAAACCAAACAAAUCCUGAUUGUUAUUAUGAUUACAUUCACUUGAUAAAGUCAACUGAAGUGAAAGUGACCCUUGGGACAUUUUUUGCGCAUCAAUAACUCAAAAAAACACCGUGUGCAGUAUUUUGCUUUUUUUUUGACUGAAAAUAAGUUUGACUGCUCAUUCUAAUGAGGGAGAUGUAGACGUCUUGCACUCUAAGUGGAGCUCUCAGUGCAGCUCUCAGUGCCAGGUGUGCGUUACUCAGACCUGACUGGAGUGUCGGAGCCAUUCAGAGUCAUUGAAGGAGCAAAAACCACAGAAGAGCUUACGCCGCGUCUGUAGAUCUUCCCCCUUCUUUCUUUCUUUUAAAGCUCUGUAUGAAACUCUAGCAGGCAGGUCUUCAGCUGGCUCUGUUUGUGUAGUGACCUGUGUGUAAUGAGGUCUGAUGGCUUGAUGGGGGUUUGGGACUUCUGGGAAAUAGUCGUAAUACGAUUAAGACUGUGACUGCUCUCCGAAAGACAAAAGCCAUGAAAUACCAGCGUUUUUUCGGGGCAGCGGUGCCACCGGUUCACCGAGUCAGUCGUUGUUGACAUGCGACAUUCACUUUACAACACAAUUAACACUCAAUAAAUGUCUUAACCAUCUUGUUAAAGCUGAAUGAGUUCACAACAAAGGUGUGUUUGAGAUUUCGUGUUGUUGUUUUUUACUCUGAUAUGUUCCAAAACAUCCACAGGACACUUAAUUGCAUUAUUACCGUAAUAAGGUUAUCAUAUGAUUUGUGGUCUUGUAUUUGAGUCGGAAAAGUCGAUGCAGACUGCAGCUGCAUUGAGUCCACUGAUUUAGUGCUUUGCUCUUAUGACAGAUGAACAAAGGCG
ensembl:lncRNA